AUGAGAAGACAUUCCGUUGGCUCCAUAAUGAGGACCAAAUGGCUGUGGAGAAGUUGUCUUGUGGAAUCAGAAAGUUUGCUGCUGAUGCAGUUAAAUUGGAGCAGAUGAUAAAGGAACGAAUGUUCAGUGCUGCAAAUGGAAAGUUGGCAUACCAAACUUAUUGGAAGCUGUAUGGCUGUACAAGCUGCAUAUGAAUGGAUUUUCUGUAUUCCAGGCUUUUUAUAUGAUUUUGCAAACUUAACAUAUUCUCAGUGUGUUUGGCACUUUUCUAUAUCACAAUUGAUACUGCUGUGGGGGGGGGGAUUGCAGAUGACUAAAGGACCAAUUGACUGGAAGGGUUUCCCUUCAAAAUGAUGGUGGUAGUGGUAAUAAUAAAAGUAUUGUGGUACA